CGGGGGAGGCCGGAUCCUGGGCUGUGUCCCGGCGCCCUGGGCUCGGGGCCUGCGCUGUUGGAUUCGCGCUCCCGCCCGCAGCCCCCU
rnacentral:pre_miRNA from 1 species